UGGGGAAUAUUGCACAAUGGGCGCAAGCCUGAUGCAGCCAUGCCGCGUGUAUGAAGAAGGCCUUCGGGUUGUAAAGUACUUUCAGCGGGGAGGAAGGCGAUAAGGUUAAUAACCUUGUCGAUUGACGUUACCCGCAGAAGAAGCACCGGCUAACUCCGUGCCAGCAGCCGCGGUAAUACGGAGGGUGCAAGCGUUAAUCGGAGUUACUGGGCGUAAAGCGCACGCAGGCGGUCUGUCAAGUCGGAUGUGAAAUCCCCGGGCUCAACCUGGGAACUGCAUUCGAAACUGGCAGGCUAGAGUCUUGUAGAGGGGGGUAGAAUUCCAGGUGUAGCGGUGAAAUGCGUAGAGAUCUGGAGGAAUACCGGUGGCGAAGGCGGCCCCCUGGACAAAGACUGACGCUCAGGUGCGAAAGCGUGGGGAGCAAACA
rnacentral:rRNA from 1 species